CAACAGCGUAUAUUAAAGUUGUUGCAGUUAAAACGCUCGUAGUCGGAUUUCGGGGCGGGCGGGCCGGUCUGCCGAUGGGUAUGCACUGGUCUGGCCGUCCUUCCUUCCGGAGACCGUGCGUGCUCUUAACUGAGUGCGCUCGGGAGACGGAUCGUUUACUUUGAAAAAUCAGAGUGUUUCAAGCAGGCAGCUCGCUCUUGCAUGGAUUAGCAUGGGAUAAUGAAAUAGGACUUUGGUGCUAUUUUGUUGGUUUCGAACACCGAAGUAAUGAUUAACAGGGACAGUCAGGGGCACUCGUAUUCCGCCGAGAGAGGUGAAAUUCUCAGACCAGCGGAAGACGAACCACUGCGAAAGCAUUUGCCAGGGAUGUUUNCACUGA
rnacentral:rRNA from 1 species